rnacentral:rRNA from 1 species
UACGUAGGGUGCGAGCGUUAAUCGGAAAUACUGGGCGUAAAGCGUGCGCAGGCGGUUUUGUAAGCCAGAUGUGAAAUCCCCGGGCUUAACCUGGGAAUGGCAUUUGGGACUGCAAGGCUCGAGUGCGGCAGAGGAGACUGGAAUUCCUGGUGUAGCAGUGAAAUGCGUAGAUAUCAGGAGGAACACCGAUGGCGAAGGCAGGUCUCUGGGCUGACACUGACGCUCAUGCACGAAAGCGUGGGGAGCAAACAGG